UACAGAGGGUGCGAGCGUUGUUCGGAAUUAUUGGGCGUAAAGGGCGCGUAGGCGGCCUUCUAAGUCGGACGUGAAAUCCCUCGGCUUAACCGAGGAACUGCGUCCGAUACUGAAAGGCUUGAAUCCGGGAGAGGGAUGUGGAAUUCCAGGUGUAGCGGUGAAAUGCGUAGAUAUCUGGAGGAACACCGGUGGCGAAGGCGGCAUCCUGGACCGGUAUUGACGCUGAGGCGCGAAAGCUAGGGGAGCAAACGGG
rnacentral:rRNA from 1 species